rnacentral:lncRNA from 1 species
AAGAACGGCUGAACGCUAGGGUUUUCUUGUGGAAACCUUUGCUUCGCCUCCGUGACAGAGUGUAGAAAGAUGAGAGGAAUGGGUACCAAAUGAGACAGAGGGAGGAACAAUGGUCAGUCGCCUAUGGUGUUUUUUGUGUUUGAUUUUGCAAAAGAAAACCGGUUCAGUUUCAGCCCGUGCUGAGAUGGGCUGCUGACGUGG